AUUAUAAUAAAGCCAAUAAAAAUCACGUCUCAGGAUUCCAAUGGGUCGUAUUAAGCUGACGUCAUUGUCCAAGAUAAAAAAUGUCCCUGCAAUCAGCCAUUUUAGGAAAAGAAAGUGAAUGAAGAGAGAAGCCUAGACAUGAAGCAGAAGGUGCGUGAUAAAGGUAUAGAAGAUGGUAGAGGACCAUUCGCAAAGGCCUGCUGUGUCGACUCCUGGAAGCUAUUAGGCGCAGCAACGUCUUCGCCCAGAGGAGAAAUGCACGGGCACUGACCGCAGCGGAAGACUUACAGUAUUCUAUGCUGAAAGAAGUUAACCAGCAUGUCAGUGAUUUCAAAUUUGAGUCAAACUGACAUUGAUUAUAGCAGGUGGUUCCCUUUGCAAACAACUAGUCUGGUUGUUAUUUAGUCUAGUUGUAGUGUCACUAAUCUGAUGGGCAACUAAUUAUGUGCAGUCUAGUGAUGCACACAAGUAGCUGCUGGACAGUUAACCCGCUAAGUUGUAUUGUAAUUAUAUUAAUUCUUCCUAUUUGUCAGAGAACAGGAAGGAAGACCCCUCCCUGUCUUACCUGAAAGUAACCUGCCGGUGUGUGAGAUUAAAACCAUGCAGCUCUACAGGAGCUUCUUCUGUAUUUAUCUGAGAUUAAGGUGCACUGUGGCACAGAGGUGAGCCUGCAGGAGCA